rnacentral:rRNA from 1 species
UACGAAGGGGGCUAGCGUUGCUCGGAAUCACUGGGCUUAAAGCGUGUGUAGGCGGACUUCUAAGUACCUUGUGAAAUCCCACGGCUCACCCGUGGAACUGCUGGGUAUACUGGUUGUCUUGAGCCAGCUAGGGGCGAGCGGAACAGACGGUGGAGCGGUGAAAUGCGUAGAUAUCGUCUGGAACGCCGAAGGUGAAAACAGCUCGCUGGGGCUGCGCUGACGCUGAGACACGAAAGCCAGGGGAGCGAACGGG